AACGAACGCUGGCGGCAUGCCUAACACAUGCAAGUCGAACGAAGUCUUCGGACUUAGUGGCGCACGGGUGCGUAACGCGUGGGAAUCUGCCCUUGGGUGCGGAAUAACUUCUCGAAAGGGAUGCUAAUACCGCAUAAUGUCGUAAGACCAAAGAUUUAUCGCCCAAGGAUGAGCCCGCGUAAGAUUAGCUAGUUGGUGGGUAAAAGCCUACCAAGGCGACGAUCUUUAGCUGGUCUGAGAGGAUGAUCAGCCACACUGGGACUGAGACACGGCCCAGACUCCUACGGGAGGCAGCAGUGGGGAAUAUUGCGCAAUGGGCGAAAGCCUGACGCAGCGACGCCGCGUGGGUGAUGAAGGCCU
rnacentral:rRNA from 1 species